rnacentral:rRNA from 1 species
GUCCACGCCGUAAACGAUGUCUACUUGGAGGUUGUGGCCUUGAGCCGUGGCUUUCGGAGCUAACGCGUUAAGUAGACCGCCUGGGGAGUACGGUCGCAAGAUUAAAACUCAAAUGAAUUGACGGGGGGCCCGCACAAGCGGUGGAGCAUGUGGUUUAAUUCGAUGCAACGCGAAGAACCUUACCUACUCUUGACAUCCAGAGAA